GUGAGUGUAGCCCAGUGGUUAAGGCGCCAGGUUGUGGCCCUGGUGAGCGUGGGUUCAAAUCCCACCACUCACC
rnacentral:tRNA from 1 species